rfam:Clostridium clostridioforme CAG:132 genomic scaffold, scf287
CACAGCGCGAGGCGUGGACGAGAGGAAGGGAUAGAGAAAUCGUAGCCCUACGAACAGAAGCUUGAUAUUAAGGCGUUCAUUGGCGUGUAAGUUAGCCUAAGAUAACGAAGCCUUAAAGGCAGCCGUAAACCAUGGGCGUAAAUCAAGAGGGCAGACGAGGAAAGAACACG